GAGAUGAUUGAGCCGCGCACGCCGCAGUACAAGUUACUGGAGCCUGUUUUGCUUCUGGGCAAGGAGAGAUUUGCUGGUGUGGAUAUCCGGGUCCGUGUGAACGGUGGUGGUCAUGUGGCCCAAAUUUAUGCUAUCCGGCAUUCCAUUUCAAAAGCCCUGGUGGCUUAUUACCAAAAAUAUGUGGAUGAAUCCUCCAAGAAGAAAAUCAAAGAUAUCCUCAUCCAGUACAAUUGGACCCUGCUUGUAGCUGACCCCCAUCGCUGCAAAUCCAAAAACUUUGGUGGUCCCGGUGUCCGUGCCCGGUACCAGAAAUCCUACCGAUAAGCCAGUCUCAAGGAUCAGGGUUUACCUUUGUAAUAAACAUCCUAGGACU
rnacentral:lncRNA from 1 species